rnacentral:rRNA from 1 species
CAGCCAGACUCCUACGGGAGGCAGCAGUGGGGAAUAUUGCACAAUGGGGGGAACCCUGAUGCAGCGACGCCGCGUGGGUGAAGGAGUACUUCGGUACGGAAAGCCCUAUCAGCAGGAAAGAAAAUGACGGUACCUGACUAAGAAGCCCCGGCUAACUACGUGCCAGCAGCCGCGGUAAUACGUAGGGGGCAAGCGUUAUCCGGAUUUACUGGGCGUAAAGGGAGCGUAGACGGCAGUGCAAGUCCGGAGUGAAAGCCCGGGGCUCAACCCUGGUCCUGCUCUUGAAACUGUAAAGCUAGAGUGCGGGAGGGGCAGGCGGAAUUCCUGGUGUAGCGGUGAAAUGCGUAGAUAUCAGGAGGAACACCGGCGGCGAAGGCGGCCUGCUGGACCGUAACUGACGUUGAGGCUCGAAAGCGUGGGGAGCAAACAGGAUUAGAUACCCGUGUAC